UUUUUUUUUUUUUUUUUUUUUUUUUUUUCAGUGAAAGCAAAACAAGACAAUCCAAGAACCAAGAUACGGUCAGUUUUACAGGUAGAAGUGAAAACCAGGCUUUUAAAAUGACAUUAAAUUUAUUUUCUCCAGGCCAAAUGGAUUCAUUGCACUGAGAGAAAUUUUAGAGGACAUCUCAUUAUUCCGUGACUUUCAAAGAGAGUGGCCCAUGGAAGUCUUCCAGAUUGCCCUUGGGAUGACCUCAACGUACCAAUAUUU